AACGUAGGGGACAAGCGUUAUCCGGAUUUACUGGGCGUAAAGCGCCCGUAGGCGGCUUUUUAAGUUGGACGUGAAAGCUCCCGGCUUAACUGGGAGAGGCCGUUCAAAACUGAGAGGCUAGAGUGAGGCAGAGGAGCGCGGAAUUCCCGGUGUAGUGGUGGAAUGCGUAGAGAUCGGGAAGAACACCAGUGGCGAAGGCGGUCUGCUGGGCCGUUGCUGACGCUGAGGCGCGACAGCGUGGGGAGCAAACAGG
rnacentral:rRNA from 1 species